CUUCCGUGCCCGCAACGACCAACGCGGAGCUGAACUUAUUAGAGGAGCUGGACCAUAUGAGCUGCACCUAAUCUCUGCACCGGCACUUUGCACCGUUUAUCAGCAUUAUUGUGCUUGACACGCUCAUUUGAUUUUUAAGAAGACAAAAAAAACUUCCUAUGCAGUGGACGUGUAAGUACUGCACAUUUUGUGCUGAAAAGAGGGGCUAUUUACUUAAGCGUAAUGCAUGGGUGCCACACCCGAAUAUCACCACUACCAUGCCUUCAUAAGGAGUGCCUGUGCACAUUUAAAUCUUUCAAUGCACUCAAAGUCCACUUAUCAACAUGGCACACUCAAAAGGACCUAAGGAACGUGAGUGAAACUGCUUUUCAUUGUAAAAAGGAGCCUGCUGUACACAACAUGGUUGAACGAUGGCCAGCACUCUUCACAGAGCGACAGGGUGUUUGCCGAGUUUAAUCAAAUCGGCAGUAAGAAUCUUGAGGGAGACUUCUUUGAGGCUCUGGACCAGUACACCCAGUGCGGCUCGUAGACAUUUUCAAAACAAAAAAAGGAACUGUUGGCCGGAAACUCAUUGAGCUGAUGCAGCACAUGAGCUGGAUGACACCAGACGUGACAGUACUUCGCUCUGUUGUCCCCAAAGGCAUUUUGAUAAUACUUGGUGACGACGCCAGGGAAUUCUUCAAGACAUGAUCUGAUACAGCAAGAGACGAGGCCCUAGAAUGCAUCACUGUUGGUGUGUUUUCAGUGAAGAUGGUCCUCACAAGGGUCCACGUUCAGUGGACCUCCAGCCCAUCUCCACUUCCAUCAUUCUGGAGGGAGGUAUCGUCAUGGAUCACAUUAAAAACUUGCCUCAGGCAGUUUGUCUGUUAUUUGGGCUAACAUAUGCUUUGCAUUUGGAUUACCCAAAAUGCUUUGCAAAGACUCUCAACUUCAUUCAGACUGUGAUGCUUGGACUGGGAAAGAAAAACCUCCCACCAAAACUGUUAACUCUGAAGAACAGUCUCCGGGAUUAGACUAGUAAAGAGCUAAAUCAGCUGUCAGCAAUUUAAAAGUUAUAAUAAUGUUCUCCUGUUAUUAGAUAAAGUUUGAUGCUUUCAUGCAACUCGUUUAUCUUAAUAAAAAAAAAAAAAAUCAUUCAAGUCUGUACCAUGUUAUGCUGGUAUGCUAAUGGAGGAAAUAGUGCCACUGAAGUCCUGUAUUUAUCAGGUGUUGACCUGUUUAAUAUUGUGAGACUGUUACAUGCAUAGAAUUAGUUCACAAAAAUGUGGCGUCCAUGUCAUGGUACACAGUCCAAUCAAACCACAAGUUAUAAGUUAUUUGUCUGCUGUUUCAAUUCUUGGGAACAGAACACCGCUGAAUAAUAGUAAUUUUAUUGAUUAUUGUAAGGUUAUUACAUGAGUAAAUGUUAUAUUGGAGAAUUGGAAUCAGAAGUAAUAACAAUGUCAAAUGUUUUUUGUUCAGCCUAGACCUGUAAAUGAUGCAAUUUUUUUUUUUUAAUAAAUGCAUCUGAAUCAACCCAGAGUGUUCUUUUAAAGUA